rnacentral:rRNA from 2 species
GGAGUCUAGCAUGUACGCGAGUCAUUGGGACUAGCGAAACCUAAAGGCGAAAUGAAAGUGAAAGUCGGCCUCGCGCCGACCCAGGGAGGAUGGGCCGCGUCACGGCGCGGCCCCGCACUCCCGGGGCGUCUCGUUCUCAUUGCGAGAGGAGGCGCACCAAGAGCGUACACGCUGGGACCCGAAAGAUGGUGAACUAUGCCUGGUCAGGACGAAGUCAGGGGAAACCCUGAUGGAGGUCCGAAGCGAUUCUGACGUGCAAAUCGAUCGUCGGAACUGGGUAUAGGGGCGAAAGACUAAUCGAACCAUCUAGUAGCUGGUUCCCUCCGAAGUUUCCCUCAGGAUAGCUGGCGCUCGCUUUUGCGAGUCUCAUCUGGUAAAGCGAAUGAUUAGAGGCAUUGGGGUCGAAACGGCCUCAACCUAUUCUCAAACUUUAAAUGGGUGAGAUCUCCGGCUUGCUUGAAACGUGAAGCCGCGAGAUCGGAUCAGAGUGCCAAGUGGGCCAUUUUUGGUAAGCAGAACUGGCGCUGUGGGAUGAACCAAACGCAGAGUUAAAGCUCCAAAAUCGACGCUUAUGGGAUACCAUGAAAGGCGUUGGUAACUUAAGACAGCAGGACGGUGGCCAUGGAA